UUUUCUUUGCAGGUUCACUUUUGCGUAGGCCAGGACUGGCGACAUGGACACAACUCGAACGCGUAAGGGAAUCCUUAGAUAUUACCCUCGACGACUAUCCGACUACACUCCGGAUCCACACACAGCCUCCUCCCGCCUGGUCUCAGCAGGUUCCAAAGUCAUAUUUCUCUUUAUCACGUUACCUGUACUCAUACGCAUCGACGUACUAUUCAAAUACAACAUAUGGCUUUAUAUGACGCUUAUCUGCUGUUAUUUCUUAUUGAAAAUCUUUGUCAAAUGGCAUUUGUACACCGUGAUAUGCCUUAAUAUGCCAGGGGCUUCAUUGUACCCAUAAUCCAGCAAUAAAGUCCGAACACCUUCACGGUCGUUCGGCACCCCGAACUUAUAGCAUUAUAUGCAUCGGCUCUGAAUCAUGUCUUGGGUCAAUAGUUGGGUUUGCCCAGCUCCAAUGUUUUGCUGCCUUAUGUUCCGCUAUAUCGGCUAAGGCGGCAUAGGGAGAACUACUGCAAUUGUGUCCCGGUUCUUCCGGACGAGCGCCUCAGUAGAGAAAGCCGAAAAUUGACUGUCAUGAUAUGGCGAGAGCUGGUGAUCUAUUCGAGAGGUUGUAAAAUCUUUAAGGAUUUCUUCUGCAUUAUGCAAUAACUAAUGCAGCGUGCGAUGGAUCGGCUUUUCUUCUGAUCAGGUGCUCAUAGAGCCCCUUGUGCGGUCUUCCGAACACCAGGGGCUGCGCCUACCUUUAUUUUGUCAAACUCCUAUGGCUAAGUGAGAGUGAUAAAGCCUUAUAGUUCGAUUGCUUGGUUUGUCGCGCUGAACACCUCCUUCAAGGACCCAAAACUGGGAUAAAGAGUGCUCAGGUUUAUCCCGAACACCCCUGUACUUCCUACGUGGGGGCAGAAGCCGACGACUGGCCAACUCUUAGGAUAUAUAUAAAAUGGCUGCGGAGGUGGAAAAACUUUCAAAUAAUAGGCAAUCAAUAAUAGAAACGACCUUGUUUAACAUUACAAAGGACAACAUGACUGUAUUCAUGGAAAUAUAAUGUCCUUGGUGCAUUGCUCCGCCGCAAGGCAGGAUCCUUUUAGGACACUAUCAUAAUAUAACUCAGGCAUGCGGUGCUCCUUCCCCUCCGGCGGUCCCUCAGUCAUUAGUUUUUCAGCGUCCAUCUUCCCCCAGUGCACCUUUGCAUGGGCAAAGACCAUUCGUGCACCCUCCAUACAGACCGACCGCUUGAUGACAUCAAGUCAAGGGCAGGCACUCACAAGCCGCUUCACGAGCCCGAAGUAGCUGCUUGGAAUCGGCUCAUUGGGCCAUAGCCGGAUAAUUAAAUCCUUCAUGGCUAGUUCGGCCGCCUUAUCUAGUUCGAUCAGUUGUUAAUUCGGUGCCAAAUACUGCGACCAAAAGAGCUUAUCCGUAGUGUUCCUCUAUUCGGCUCGAUAGAAUUGGGCGGCAUCAGAUAUGCAGCGUGGCAGCUCCGCAAAAUACCCCUGGAGAAAUCCGAACUCAAAUUAGAAACGUGAUUUUCUCCUCAAAUACUUGCUUUACAUACAAAAAGCCUUACCUACCGCGAUCUUCCUCGCCUCCUGGAUCUCCUGCAGGGCGCCUUGGGUUUCCCCUCGGGCAUCGCGUGCGGCUUGAUGAGCCUCGGUGAGUUCGGAUUCUUUCUCUAUUAAGCUCUGCUCCAAGGUCUCGCAUUUCUUCACAGUCUCUUCAAGCUCUUGCUCAUCGUCAAUAACCGUGGCCUCGUGCUUCUCAUGAAGAGCAUGCUCUGCGGCUGCCUUCUUCUCGGCCUCGGCCACAUCCUUCUUAAGGGCCUCGACUUAAGUCAUCGCCCCUAGAGCAAACCAUGAACAUAUUUUUAUCAUACUAAAUAUUCAUUCACGCUGAACGCGCAAGGUAUCUUGCAUACCUUGUUCAUCCUCCAACUGCUUUUUCAACUGGCCAAGUUCCCCUUCGGCCGGCUCCAGACUCUGCUUUACUCCGGAGACUUCCACGGUAUGAGAGGCGACAGGCGCUACAGACACCUGAAGAUGCUAUAAAGUGAGUCUCCUGCGAACAUAUAUUGGAUUCUCUGUCCGGUUCUUUCUUUCGCCGAACAGCGUAUCAGGGGCUACUACCUAUACUAUAACACUCUUCGAAACCUCACAAGACAUACCUCAAAGCCCGUUAUAAGCCUGAUGCAGGCUUCAUUCAGUCCACUCUCCGCAGACUGGAUCUUCUCAAUCACCGUACCGUUAAGGGCAUGGUAUUCUUCAAUGAUGGAGGCGCUCUUUAGCGCCGCCAGUAAAGUAUUCGGCACCUCUGGUUGGACAGAGGUUGCCAAUGGAACAGGCGCACCCCCUCCAGCCGAGGGAGGCUGCCUGCCUGAUUCUGGAGCCGUACCGGUCUCCAGAAUUGUGUCCGGCCGGGGGCAAAAUUCGAGAUAGCCCCCAUCGUCGACGUCCAUGGGAGCCUUUUCUCCCGUCUGUCCGGCCCCUGAAGUUUGACCUCCUGGUGCCGCCUUGACGAUCUCCCCCCCCCUUCUUGGCCUGGGUCCCUCUGUGACGAUACCUCGGUAUCGUUCACGUAUUUUGGGGAAGGGGCCUUCGGGGGUGUCUUGUUGUCCAUAGCAUCUGAACCCAAUAAAUCCCCUGAUGAGGAUCAUUCGGUGCGGGACCUCGCCGAACUAAAAAAAGUAUGGCUCAAUGAUUAGAAUGUCAUACCAUGGUGAGUCCGGAUGCGUAAAUGUGUUCGGAUUUUAUAUACUCAUGAGUUCAACAGGUGCUAGGCCCUGGGAUCCCACUCCGGGCUGCUGUCGGUGGCGGCGGUGGACUCCUCUGGAAGAGGAGUUUUUCCCUUCUUAGGCGACUCGGCCUCCAAGGAUGUGGAGGCCGUCCUUUUCUUUCUUCCCCUCGCUGGGGAUUCGUCUUCCUUCUCUUCCUCGUCCUCUCCAGAGGAGCCUUCGGAUAUUGUGUCCGAAGCACCACAGCGACGGAGGCUACUCCUGGUCUUGUUGACCUCCUUCUCGGCCUUUUCUUCGGCGCCUUGUAAGGUUGCGGGACCAACAUCUUCGUCAGAAGUGGGCCGGCCGGUUCUUCUGGCAGUGGGGCAGGACAGUAGAUCCGCCCCGCCUUCUUCGUCCAGCCCUAGGAGAGUUGUGGAAAACACAUUAAGCAUUUCCCUUGGGUUAUGCGAAUAAAAUGUAUGACUUGCCAAACAUGCAAUGGCUUACUGAACUUGCAGGACGGGACAGUUGGUACCCGCGGUCCUCGGCGGAGUUCGGCCACGAUUUGCCGGACUUAAAAAGCACCUUCCAGAUGUCCAUGCGAGGAGCCAAAGAGCUCUAGCAGGGUCUAGUGCUUGGCCGGGUCGAAUUCCCAUAAACUGCAAACCCUGUGUUGACAAGGAAGAAUCCGGCGAACUAAAAUCACCUGGACUACAUUGACGAGUUUGAUAUUCUUGUCUUCCAUAUCCUUGAUGCGCGUCUGGAGCGUCAACAGCUCGUCGGGAGAAGACGAGUUCAGGCCCUUUUUGGGCCAGGACGUGAGCCGCAGGGGAGCUCCGGAUCGGAAUUCGGGAGCUGCAGCCCAUUUUGGGUCGCGCGGCUCAGCGACAUAGAACCACUGUUGUUGCCAUCGUUUGACGGAAUCAUUAAAAGUACCUGACGGCCAUGUGACAUUGGGCAUCUUGCUCACCAUGGCACCUCCGCACUCGGCGUGCUCGCCGCUCACUACCUUGGGCUUCACAUUGAAGAUCUUCAGCCAUAAGCCGAAGUGUGGCGAGAUGCGGAGAAAGGCCUCUCACACGACGAUGAAUGUCGAGAUGUUGAGGAAGGAAUUGGAGGAUAGAUCAUGAAAAUUGAUCCCGUAGUAAUACAUGAUGCCGCGAACGAAUGGGUGGAGGGGCAACCCUAGCCCGCGGACAAAAUGAGGGAGGAAUACAACCCUCUCGUGGGGUUCUGGAGUAGGGACAAUCUGUCCUGCCGUCGGAAGACGGUGGCUGAUUUUCUUUGCCAGAUACCCGGCCUCCCGAAGCUUUUUGAUAUCCUUCUCCCGGACGGUAGAGGCCAUCCACUUGCCUCUUGCCCCGGAUCCGGGCAUUUUCGGAGGGCCUUUGUGGGUGGAGAAGACAAAUGCUUGGGCGCUGGAGCUCGAGCGAGGGGGAAUGGAUGAGUAUAGGAAGAAGAAGGCGUGGGUGAAAAAGGUGUCACAGCCCUAGAAUAUUGUUUGUAGAUAGUUGCAUCUUCAUCCAGGCAUCAUAUUUAAAUUUCUGAAACAUGAAUUGAGGAUUGUUGAAGCCUCAAAACUUUAAUUAAAAGAAGGGCAAAAUAACCCUGGAAAAUGCAUUCAAUGAUUCCAAAAUGGCCUUAACUAAUGUUGGUUAUAUUUUGGCCAGGGUUUUACACCAAACCAAAAAUAAUGAACAUUUUUGAGGAAUAUUUUGAGCAUUGAAUUUAAAUCAUAUUCUAUUUGAAUUUGGAAUUAUAUUCAUAAUAUAUAAUGAAUAUAUUUUCAAAUGACCUGAGAUAUUUUUUGUAUUUGUGAAAAAGUCCAUUAAGUGACUUAAAAUAUCCAGGGGAGUUUUGGCACUGUUUUCAAAUUUGCUUGAAUUUGAAUUCAGUGGCAAUUAAAUAAAAAAAAGCAAAACAGAAAAGAAAAAAAAAGAACAGAAACUUACCUGGACUCACCUGGCGCUCACCGAAGCCACCUGGACGGCCCAACACUUCCGGCCCAGCCCGCCACCGCUACUCCCCCCCCUGUCGUCUUCCUCUGCCAGUAGGCAGAGGCGAGGCGUGGCGCGCGCCCGAGAGCUCCGGCAACCUCCUGCUUACCUGCUCGCCGCUGGAGGCACCCGAGGGAGCCACGCACUCCCCCUCGCCCCCUGCACCUCUCCUCUCUCCCCCUGGACCCCAUCCCCUCCUCUGCUCCCCUCUCGCGCACACCACCGAGCGGAGCUCGCCGUCAUCGUCGCCGUACCCGUGGCCACCGGCCACCCCUAGCCUCGCCGAUGCGCCCAGGAGCUCCGCCUCGACCCCCUCUUCCUCCCCACCGAUCCACGACCCUCCGGAUGCCCUGCAUCGCCGCCAACGUGCCGUCUUCAACCUCCGGAUCCGACGGCCCCCUCCGGUCAAUUUGCGGCCUCAGCGCGUCCCCGGCUACACCGAGUUGCUCCCCUUCACCGCUGUGAGCUCCUCUUCGUUCUCCCCCUCUCCCCACCAUCGAUUGCAUCCCCUAGCCGUUGUUUCUGUGAUGGCCGAGAGCUCGCUGCCGCCGCCAUGAAGCUCGCCGUUGCUAGCGACCCCUGCUGACCAUGAAGAGCACCUGGACGAGUUCGACACGUCCCGCAGAUGCUUCCCAACCGCCUAGCUUGUUCAUUUGCAAGCUGCAGCCCCGCGCCGCUCGAACCCGUAGCUCCGGCCGCCGCCGUUCUGGUCGCCGCCGUCGACCCCGGCCUCCCUGUGCCUAGCUGCGUGCGCCCCUAGACGCGCGGGAGCACGGGCUCCCUCCUGGUGCCCUCAGGGUGCCCAACCGCAGCCUGUAGCGCCGCCUCGACCAACUCCGGCGAGUUCCCGCCGCUGCUGUGGUCGCCGGCGUCACCUGCUGACGUGGCGCCGGUUAAUUAGUGCUAAUAACCCCGCUAAAGACCCCCAGAGCCACUGCCAUGUGGGCCCCUGCGCUUAAUUAGGUUAAUAUAAUUAUUCUAUUAAAUUAGCGUUAGUGCCGUGGACCCCACGUGUCAGCUUUGACUCUGGCCCAGUCAUCGUUGACCGGUCCCACCUGUCAUUCACUCAAUCCAGACCUGAGACACUGACCAGUGGGCCCCACUGGUCAGGUUUGACCGGACCAGCCCAGUUGACUCUGCUGACGUCACAGUGACGUGGUGCUGACGCCAUAAAUCAUUUUCUGGAAUUAUUUUAAUUCUAAAUAUUCAGGAAAUUCCAGUAAAUGCCUAAAACUUCUAAAAUUCAUAGAAAUUCAACCGUAACUCCAAAUUAAAUAAUUUAUAUAUGAAAAAUUAUCAGAAAAAUUCAAGGAAUCCAUCUGUACCAUUUUCAUGCAUGUUUGAACAAUGUUUGUCCUCUGUUUUGGACAAAACAAAUAAAGGGCAUUUAAAUAAUCAUAUAUGGAGUUGGAAAUUGAAUCAUGUGUUCAAACCAACUUCAUUUAAAUCAUAGCUAGAUGCACUAGCCCAAAACACAUUCAUAUUGCCAUGUCAUAGCAUGCAUCAUAUUGUGCAUUGCAUUGAUCGUGUUUCUUCUGUGUUUGCCGGUGUUGUUCCCCCUCGGUGGACGUUGUACCGACGAUGUGAUCGUUGACACUAAUGAAGACUCAAUGUUAUCUUCAGAAGUGCCAGGCAAGCAGAACCCCCUUGUUCAUUCCGAUACAAUCCCACUCUCUCGCUCUUGCUCUUUUUUACUGCAUUAGGACAACAACGAUUCAUCUGUUACUUGCUGCGGUAGCUGAACCCCUUUAUCCUUUGCAUGACCUGUCAUUCCACAGUAAAUAGAUGAAACCCACUAGCAUGAGUAGGAGUUGUUUGAGCCCUGAUGUGCCUACUCAUUCAUGUUUGUUUGUCAUGCCUGCUACUGCUUAGAGUUGAGUCAGGUCUGAUUCAUCAGGGAUGAAUCAGAGGUGUGUGAACAUGUCCUACUAUGUGUGAGCUAAGUGUGUGAACACGAUUUGGUAAAAGGUAUCGGUGAGAGGCCAUGUAGGAGUACAUGGUGGGUUGUCUCAUUGAAGCCGUCCUCAGGAACUGAGUUCUGUGUUUGUGAUCCAUGAUUCAGCUACUACCAUGCAUUGGGCCCUGAAAUAUGACCCCGCUCAACUUCUUAUUCACCCUAGCUCUCUGUCCAGGAGUUGCAAGUAGUUUCUGGUGUUUGUAGCCUACUGGAGGCCGUGGACAGCGCUGACCGUAGGGGUGGGCUGUCAUGCGGUAGGUACGUGGCCGGGUGUACCGAAUACCCGUUAGGUAUCUCGGGAACCCUGUUCACAUCGUUCGGGGCCGUAUGGGAAACCUCGGCCGGACUCCCUACGGAUGGAACCUGGAUAGGCAAUAAACCUGGACUAGAGGCUUAGGUGUUUAGGUAGGUCGUGGUCUACACCCACGUCGGCUUUCGCUUGAAGUCUGCCGAGCACAUGUCGUGUGCAGACGCUAAGUGGUGGAAACAUGUAUGAAGAAGUACACCCCUGCAGGGUUAAUAUCAUCUAUUCGAAUAGCCGUGUCCGCGGUAAAGGACUUCUGGGUUGCUUAUAUCAGUUCAUAGACAAGUGAAAGUGGAUACUCUAAAAUACGCAAGAUAAGCGUGAGUGCUAUGGACGGCGUUCUCAUAGGGAGACGGGAGUGGAUCCAUAGUGGUGUAUUGAUAUGGUGAAUAUGUGGACUCGUGUGCGCCACCUCAAAAGGAGUUACUUGCAGUCGUAGUUUAGGAUAGCCACCGAGUCAAAGCUGGCUUGCUGCAGUUAAACCCCACCAUCCCCUUGUUGAUAAUGAUGCAUAUGUAGUUAGAUCUGAUGUAAGUCUUGCCGGGUACAUUUGUACUCACGUUUGCUUAAUUUAUGUUUUGCAGAGAGACCUCUGUCUCGCUAGUUGUUCCACGCGGACUUCGACAUUGAGCUUGUUACCUCAGAUACGAUCUUGUGCCCUCGGCAGGAUCUGAUAGAUAGUCAGGCUUCUCAGCCUUUUCCAUUUAUAGAUGUCUGUACUCAGACAUGAUAGCUUCCGCUUGUGUUUGACUUGUAUGCUCUGAUUGUUGGGUCAUGACACCCAUGUUUGUAAUAUCUCGCUCAUCGGAGCCUAUUGAAUAAAUUACUUGAGUCGUAGAGUCAUGUUGUGAUGCCAUGUUGUAUUUGCACAUAUCGAGCAUAUUGUGUGUAUGUUAUUGAAAUGCUUGGUAUGUGUGGGAUCUGACCAUCUAGUUGUUUACCUUUAGUAGCCUCUCUUACGGGGAAAUGUCUCCUAGUGUUCCACCGAGCCAUGGUAGCUUGCUACUGCUUCGGAACACUUAGGCUAGCCGGCAUGUGUCCUUCUUCGUUCCUGUGUCUGUCCCUUUGGGGAAAUGUCACGCAUUGAGUACCGGAGCCCUGUUAGUCCGCUACAGCCCGGUUUACCGGAGUCCUGCUAGCCCAGUGCUACAGCCCGGACCCACUUGCUGAUGACCGACACGUUUGAUGCUGGGUCAUGGAUGCCUGUCCCUGUAAGUCUGUGCCACUUUGGGUUUAUGACUAGUCAUGUCAGCCCGGGCUCUUUAUCAUAUGGAUGCUAGCGACAUCAUCAUAUACGUGAGCCAAAAGGCGCAAACGGUCCCGGGGAAAGGUAAGGAGACACCCGUGGAAUACCGUGCGUGAGGCCGCAAAGUGAUAUGAGGUGUUACAUGCUAGAUCGAUGUGGCAUUGAGUCGGGGUCCUGACAAAAGGGGAGUCCUUAUCACCUUAUAAAGGAAGCAGGGAUCCUGCGCCUCCCCACUUACCUGGUAAACUCGCUUAUUCCCCGAGCUUUGCGUUGAUGGCGCGGUUGGGUUACCCACACCCGUAUUGAUGAGCAUCCCGAUAUAAGGGGACACGAUCUCUGCCUAGACAAGACGUGCCAAUAAAACCGCUUCGCAAUAUGUGCGGUAGCAGGUUGAGAAAAAUGGUUCGCAUAAUGACCAGGCCGCGGCGUGAUGUCACACUAUGGAAAAUUGUCAGCUGAUUAGAUUUGUGAAAUAUUGUACUCUCUACGGUGGUAUGUGGAAUUUGUUUUUGCAGAGCCGGACAUGAUUCAUGUGUUCAAAAUUUACCUUGGUGUAUUCGGAGAAGGAACCCGCCUUGCAAUGUCGAAGACAAUCUGCGCGCCAGACUCGUCGUCAUUGAAGCCUGGUUCAGGGGCUACUGAGGGAGUCCUGGAUUAGGGGGUCCUCGGACAGCCGGAUUAUGUACUUGUGUUGGACUGUUGGACUAUGAAGAUACAAGAUUAAAGACCUCGUCCUGUGUCCGGGUGGGACUCUCAUUUGCGUGGAAGGCAAGCUUGGCAAUUCGGAUAUGUAGAUCUCCUUCUCUAUAACCGACUCUGUGUAACCCUAGCCCCCUCCGGUGUCUAUAUAAACCGGAGGGUUUAGUCUGUAGGAUGACAAUCAUAAUCAUAGGCUAGCUUCUAGGUUUUAGCCUCUACGAUCUCGUGGUAGAUCAGCUCUUGUAAUACUCAUAUCAUCCAGAUCAAUCAAGCAGGAAGUAGGGUAUUACCUCCAUCGAGAGGGCCCGAACCUGGGUAAACAUUGUGUCCCCCGCCUCCUAUUACCAUUAGCCUUAGAUGCACAGUUCGGGACCCCCUACCCGAGAUCCGCCGGUUUUGGCACCGACAGCGGGUUCUGGCUUUGCUCUUCUCCGGCAUAGUCGUCCAUGCCGUCGAUGUCCUCGGAGGCGUAAUCGAGCAUGUCGGUUAAGUCCUCGACAGUGGCUAUGAAGUGGAUGGUGGGUGAGACGUAAAAUUCCCGCUCUCAGCCCCUAGGCGGGCUAGGCAUAGUUCGGCAGCGAUCCUUCCGUAGUGGCAAGAGAUCACAUUAAGUCCAGAGCCUCGUUUAAGAGUGAGGUAUGGACAGGGAGCAAGAAUCCAUGGAGUGGGGCGUGACAGGAGUUCCUUGGCCGAGCUCGUAUAACACAGACCUCGAGAGUUCGAAAUUGGUGUACGGAGGUGAGUCCGGUUCGAUGGGGAUAGAGGGAGCCUGGAGUGACUCUGGGCUGGCCGGUGAAAUGACCCCCUCCAUGUCUUCGGUGUUGUGCUACGUCUUGAGCUUGCGUUGGUUUUCCUUGGACAGGAAAGGGUGAUGCAGCAAUAGUAGCGUAAGUAUUUCCCUCAGUUUUUGAGAACCAAGGUAUCAAUCCAGUAGGAGGCUCCUCAAAAGUCCCAUGCACCUACACAAACGAACAAAGAACUCGCAACCAACGCAAUAAAGGGGUUGUCAAUCCCUUCACGGCCACUUGCAAAAGUGAGAUCUGAUAGAGAUAGUAUGAUAAGAUAAAUAUAUUUUUGGUAUUUUAUAAUAUAGAUGCAAAAAGUAAUGAUAAAAAUAAAAGUAGAUUGAAAGCUUAUAUGAUAAAAGAUAGACCCGGGGAGCAUAGGUUUCACUAGUGGCUUCUCUCAAGAUAGCAUAAGUAUUACGGUGGGUGAACAAAUUACUGUUAAGCAAUUGAUAGAAAAGCGAAUAAUUAUGAGAUUAUCUAGGCAUGAUCAUGUAUAUAGGCAUCACGUCCGCGACAAGUAGACCGACUCCUGCCUGCAUCUACUACUAUUACUCCACACAUCGACCGCUAUCCAGCAUGCAUCUAGAGUAUUAAGUUCAUAAGAACAGAGUAACGCAUUAAGAAAGAUGACAUGAUGUAGAGAUAUAAACUCAAGCAAUAUGAUAUAAACCCCAUCUUUUUAUCCUCGAUGGCAAAAAUACAAUACGUGCCUUGCAACCCCUGCUGGCACUGGGUAAGGACGCCGCAAGAUUGAACCCAAAGCUAAGCACUUCUCCCAUGGCAAGAAAGAUCAAUCUAGUAGGCCAAACCAAACUGAUAAUUUGAAGAAACUUGCAAAGAUAACUCAAUCAUACAUAAAAGAAUUCAGAGGAGAUUCAAAUAUUUCUCAUAGAUAAACUUGAUCAUAAACCCACAAUUCAUCGGAUCUCGACAAACACACCGCAAAAAGAGUUUACAUCGAAUAGAUCUCCACAAGAGAGGGGGAGAACAUGGUAUUGAGAUCCAAAAAGAGAGAAGAAGCCAUCUAGCUAAUAACUAUGGACCCGAAGGUCUGUGGUAAACUACUCAAAACUCAUCGGAGAGUCUAUGGUGUUGAUGUAGAAGCCCUCCAUGGUCGAUUCCCCCUCCGGUGGAGCGCCGGCGAAGGCUCCACGAUGGGAUCUUGCGGAUACAGAAGGUUACGGCGGUGGAAAUUUCUUUUUGUUGGCUCCCUGGAUGUUUUCGGGGUACGUGGGUAUAUAUAGGAGGAAGAAGUACGUCGGUGGCCGCCUGAAGGGCCCAGGAGAUAGGGGCGCGCCCUGUAGGGGUGGGCAUGCCUUCCUAUCACCUGGCCGCCAAGAUUGCUUGUUCACUUGCACUCCAAGUCCUCUGGAUCACGUUCGUUCCAAAAAUCACGUUCCCGAAGGUUUCAUUCUGUUUGGACUCCGUUUGAUAUUCCUUUUCUUCGAAAUACUGAAAUAGGCAAAAAAAACAGCAAUACGGGCUCGGCCUCCGGUUAGUAGGUUAGUCCCAAAAAUGAUAUAAAUGUGUAAAAUAAAUCCCAUAAACAUCCAAAAGGGGUAAUAUAAUAGCAUGGAACAAUCAAAAAUUAUAGAUAGUUGGAGACGUAUCUUGUUGCGGAGAGUCCGGCGGGCUCUAGACUCCCGUCUUCGGACUCGGUGAGGAGUUCUGGAUCUAAGGUCGGAGCCAUGGUUGAAGCCGCGAACCCUUGGAAGAUCAAGUCUCCCCGGAUAUCAGGGAUGUGACAUCCAGAUAAUUAAGCUACAGUAAUCCCCCACUAAUGGUGCCAUGUCAUCACAUUACUGUUGCUAAUCCUCGCUUGAUCCAAAUCAUAUUUCAAAUUCAAAUUCAAAUUAAAGUCCAAAAUUAAAGUUUCUCAAACAUGCAAAAUAUAAUGUCCAAAGUCUGGACAAUAUUCCAUAACUAAUUAUGGUGGUGACCCAACACUUUUGUAAAGUGUUUAAAUCCCCUUUUGUGAAUAUAACAGUGACUUCGGCAAUCAUUUAAAUGCCUUUCCAUUUAUGAAAAUUUCAAAGGAACUCGAAAGCCUCCCAAACUUUUUGUGGCAGUGCUAGUAAAUGCAAGAUAUUUAUCUGGCCAAGUCCCACAUGGUACAAAAUACAUUUGCUAGCUAAAAGAAAAUGGAAAAAAGAAAAGAGGCAAAAGAAAAUAAGAAAACCCCCUGGCUCCCCCUGGGCCUCAGCCCAUCCCACACCAGCCAGCCCGCCCAACUGGGCCAACCACCCCAGCCGGCCCACCUCUCCCGCUCCCUUAUCCCCCACUCCCCCAAAAUAUCUGACCGACCACCCCCACUCGCCACUCCCCCCUGACUCUCUCUCCCCCUCUCCCUAUCCGAUCUGGAUCGGGUCNNNNNNNNNNNNNNNNNNNNNNNNNNNNNNNNNNNNNNNNNNNNNNNNNNNNNNNNNNNNNNNNNNNNNNNNNNNNNNNNNNNNNNNNNNNNNNNNNNNNNNNNNNNNNNNNNNNNNNNNNNNNNNNNNNNNNNNNNNNNNNNNNNNNNNNNNNNNNNNNNNNNNNNNNNNNNNNNNNNNNNNNNNNNNNNNNNNNNNNNNNNNNNNNNNNNNNNNNNNNNNNNNNNNNNNNNNNNNNNNNNNNNNNNNNNNNNNNNNNNNNNNNNNNNNNNNNNNNNNNNNNNNNNNNNNNNNNNNNNNNNNNNNNNNNNNNNNNNNNNNNNNNNNNNNNNNNNNNNNNNNNNNNNNNNNNNNNNNNNNNNNNNNNNNNNNNNNNNNNNNNNNNNNNNNNNNNNNNNNNNNNNNNNNNNNNNNNNNNNNNNNNNNNNNNNNNNNNNNNNNNNNNNNNNNNNNNNNNNNNNNNNNNNNNNNNNNNNNNNNNNNNNNNNNNNNNNNNNNNNNNNNNNNNNNNNNNNNNNNNNNNNNNNNNNNNNNNNNNNNNNNNNNNNNNNNNNNNNNNNNNNNNNNNNNNNNNNNNNNNNNNNNNUGGUCCGUCGUGGCCGCGCCGUCCCGCCCUUGCUUUCCGCCUGCGUUGCGCGUGGCCGCCAGACCGCGCGUCCCUGGCCACGCCAGCCAGGCCCCGCGCCUCGCCACCCCAGUCCUUGCCGCUCCGACCGGCCGCGCCAUGGCCGCCGGCGUGCGCCCUCCUAGGCACCCGAGUGCUCCCCGCCCGGACCCACGCCCGCUAAGCCACUAGGGUCUAUGACACCAAGGCCCCACGCCCCUGGAACGUUUUUUUUAAGAAAAUAAUAAUUAAAGUUACUAAUUAAUUAGUUAGUAAUGUAAUUAAUUAAGUUAAUUAACCUGCUUAAUUAGCCUAAUUACCUAGUCGGUUGAUUAAAUCUAUUAGUUUGUUAAAACAGUCAAUGACAAAUGGGCCCCAUUGUCCCUUUUGACCAGUCAACCCAGUCAAUAUUGAGUGUUGACGAUGCUGACUCAGCAUGCUCUGGACCCCGUUGUCAGCUGCGUGUGCAUGUUGCUGGGUACACUUAUGUGUACCCAUAGCAUUUUAGUUAUUUAAUUUUGAAUUAAUAAAUAAAUUUAGAAAAUGAAUUAAAACUUUAAAAAUUAAUAUAAAAUAAUCCGUAACUCGGAUGAAAAACUUUGUACAUGAAAGUUGCUCAGAACGACGAGACGAAUCCGAAUACAUAGCCCAUUCGUCCGCCACACGUCUCUAGCAUAGUGAACCUGUAACAUUUCACCUCUUGUUCAUCUGUCCGAAAAUGCGAAACACCGGGGAUAUUUUCCUGGAUGUUUGCCCCUUUCGCCGGUAUCACCUAGCACCGCGUUAGAACACGUCUAGCUUUGCUUGUUGUCAUGUUAUGCUCUUGCUUGCUAUGUAUUUACUGUUUCUUCCCCCUCUUCUUCUCCGGUAGACCUCGAGACCGCUGCUGAUGCCCCUGUGAUGGACUACGUCGACGACGACCCUCCUUCUUGUCUGAGCAACCAGGCAAGCCCCCUCUUUGAUCAUCCCGAUAUCACCCAUUCUAUACUCUCUUGCUUGCAUUAGAUUUUGCUACUGUUAUUGUUUGCUCGUAUUCUGAUGCAUAGCCUGCUUUUGUAACCUGCUGUUGUACCUUACCUGCUUAUCCUAAACUGCUUAGUAUAGGUUGGUUAGUGAUCCAUCAGUGACCCCCAGUACUUCUCCUUGUUGCCCCUGCUUCAUCAUCAACGACUCGAUCAGUGUGAUCGACGACCAGAACCCGACACCUCACAUCACAUCACGCCCCUUUUGUUGCUCGACUCUACAGAGCUACUACCGAGUGCAGAUGGUGAUCCCUCAUAACACACUCCUGAUGAUAAUUCUGUAGUGUAGCUAUUCGGUCGUGGUCAUCGAGGGUGAUUUCCUCUUUCACCAUUCUCGAUACGGCUCUGUCGUUCAACACCUCAAGUGUGAACCUCAAGGGUGGUCCCUCUUACGUUCACCUUGAUGAUUACAUUCAGUGGAAUCCUCCGUGGGUGAUUCCUCGGGUUUUCCCCUUGAUGUUUGGACACACUGUUACCUUGACUUUACUUGAGACCUUAGUGAAAGUCGGGCGGGCCCGGAGAGCACCCGCAAGAUGGUUACGUGGCACGCCGGGCAUUCUAGGCCCUUGUGUAAGUCCACGAGAUGGGGCGACGGGGUCACUUUCGAUCGUGAGUCUCUGCUCGUCUCUGCAAGCUAAUAAUACACUAUGGUUUGGGUAUUUGUUCUGAGUUGGCCUUUGGCCUUCACGCACCAACCACCACGCGAGAAUAGUUAUGAGCCUUGACGUCGUGGUAUCAGCCGAAGCUUUGUCAGACAUCCAGUUCAGCAUUGCGACACGACCUGGUCAGCGCCCCGUUGGAGGUGGCCUGGAUCGCCCUGCGUGCAACGAUCCGGAGUGCAACGGGCGAUGGGCCCAGACCCCGGAGUGCUUAGGAUGCAGACCGGCGGGGACCUCUCUGCUGAGCCUAGGUAGGGCUGCGACGUGUUGAUCUUCCGAGGUCGGGCAUGACCCAGGAAAGUUUGUCCGGCCAGAGUAAUCAAGCGUGUUGGAAAACGUGGUGCACCCCUGUAGGGAAGAUUAUCUAUUAAUAGCUGUGUCCAUGGUAACAGACAUUCAGACUUAUAUCCUGAUCUUAUACAACUACAAAUGGAAACUUGAGAUAUGUGGCUCCGGGAUUGCUUUCUCGCAGGGAGUCGAGGAAGGAUCUUUGGGCAUUAAUGUUACGACAUGCUUGUUAAAUAUAAACUGCUAUUCUUUACUCUUGUACAUGCUGCAAGAUGCUUGGAGCUGCUUGAAGAUGCUAGUCUUCGAUAGGCUAGGCCUUCCCCUCUAUUCUGGCAUUCUGCAGUUCAGUCCACAGAUACAAAACCUUCCAUUUGAUACUAGUGCAUACUUAGUAUAGAUCUGAUGCUUGCGAGUACUUUGGAUGAGUACUCACGGUUGCUUUGCUACCACCUUUUCCCCCUUCUUUCUUCUUUCCGGUUUAUGCAACCAGAUGGUGGAUCCAUGGAGCCAGAUGCCACCGCCAACGGAUAAUGCUACGUGAAGACCGCCGACGACCAGGAGUAGUUAGGAGGUCCCAGGCAGGAGGCCUUGCCUCUUCGAUCAUGUUGCUUUUGUGCUAGCCUUCUUAAGGCAUCCUUGUUUAACUUAUGUCUGUACUCAGUUAUUGUUGCUUCCGCUGACUCUUGUGUAUCGAGCUUGUAUUCAAGCCCUCGAGGUCCCUGGCUUGUAAUAUAAAGCUUGUAUUAUUUUAUUUGUGUCUAGAGUUGUGUUGUGAUAUCUUCCCAUGAGUCCCUGAUCUUGAUCGUACACAUUUGCGUGUAUGAUUAGUGUAUGAUUGAAUCGGGGCAUCACAAGUUGGUAUCAAAGCCGACUGCCUGUAGGAUCCCCCUUUCCAACUCCUUCGCCGAAGUUGAGUCUAGUCUUUGAAACAACUAAUUUGCUAACUUGGUUGUGUGUCUUACGGGCCCAUGUCGCCAUUGGGUGGUAUUAGGAUCUUUUAUUCCUCAUCUAUACUCUGGGAAUCUGAUCUCUCUUCCAUUCUGGUUAACUGAUUUUGCUAACAACUCUAGAUUCUUGUAAAUACUUUCUCCCGGAGAGCCCCUCACUCGAGAUGAUUACUUGGUGCACCAGAAGAUUCUGAAGAUACUCUCCGAAGUUUUCUCGAGACCCUUGUGCCCUUCGUCAUUGCAAUCCCUAACACCGAUAAAGCCUUAUGCGUAACUACCUACUUUGGCGUUCAUACCUUCAUCCCCAGUUGCUCUUGUUAUUACAAGAUGUCCUGAAAUACUCUUUGAUGUUCCGACAAUUCUUUAUGCUUACUGCCCUGCAGUUCCUUGCCGCAUGAAUACCCCUAUGGAUAAUUACUCACUCUUAUCGAGUAUCCAUUCAUCCCCAGUUAUUCUUAUGCUUCAUGAGAUACUUUGUAAUACAAUCCGAGCUUUUGAGGACCUCUGUCGCCAAUUGCUCUAGAAGGUCUUACAUGCCUACACUCUGGCUAUUUCCAUAUGCCUAGCUAUAUCCAUUGACGUCCUUUCUCAUUGUCAUUUUGAGUCUUUCGAUUUGAUAUGUUUGUGAGUAGUCACAAUCAUCAGUUGGUCCUUAUAAAUUAUCAUUCCAGCUUAAACGUCUUCCUGAACAUGAGCUAGUUCUCGGCCAAUCAGAUUGCCAUCGGUUGUGCCCUAAGUCUUUUCAACUUAUCCAUUCUUGAUCAGAGCGUUUGCUUUUGAUCCCUUGAUUUGGUAAUCAUAAUUCCUUUGCACUUGAGCUUUGAAUUAGUCAGUUGUUUCUAUAAUCUGAUUUCUUCGCAUGUUUUCUUCUUCUGGCUGAUUAUCGAUACUCACAUCAGAUCCCUGUGUACCACCAGAUCCUUUGUUGGGUUUUAUCCAAUAGGGUCCUUCAUAUUCAGUAACCUUGUGAGCUUUUCGUCAGAAUCAUAAUGCCUUUGGUAAAUUGUAUCCCCUGCUUUUGUCAACCAUGCUCUACUUUUGAGCUUGAGUUAUUUAUUCCUAAAGUUUGUGGUAUGUGUUCCUAAGAUGCCCCGAUGGGUUGAACCUAUGCCUUCCACAAACUGUGUGAACCCGAAGAUUAUGCAGGUUAUAUCUACUGGCGUUUCUUUGGAUAAAUUUUCAAUUCUACAACUUUGUCAAAGACAAGAAGUAAAUGAAAAGUUGUGCAUUAGGGAAGUGGGAGUCGACCUUGAGCCUUGUGUUCAUGCCCAUGGACCCGAUGUGGAGCUUAACAUGGAAGCUUCUUGUUAUAAUAAUAGCCCCUUGCAAUAAGUUCAUCUCGUAUCCAUGUUUGGUCCCUUGGAAUUGUGGUUCCAACCAUAUUGUUCUUGUUUGAUCCAUUUAUCAGACAAGUUAAAGUACUUGUCUUCUUCAGAUCGUUUCACCUAUUCUGCCUCUACAUUGAUAUACCUUCGGGUAUUAUCCUCUGGUAUAUCGAGAAUAUCACGGAACUACAUAACUUCUUAUGAGUUCUUGAUCAAAUAUUAUUUCUCGUUGAUUCAAAAUUUUCAUUGGUUUGGAGUUGUUAGACACUCGAGAAUACAGAUAACAGUCUAUGCUUUCCUUUCCAUUGUUUUGUUUAAUCUUUCUUGUAACCUAUCUUAUCUGAGCAGUGAUAAUUCCCUGCUUAUGUAAACACCUCGGUGUACAAACUCUGUCAGUAAGACCUUGUUACUAUUGUUGAUGACAUUCCGGUAACCACCAAUGGAUGAGAACUUAACCUAUUGGUCCACCUCAUCUUAACGAGCAGGAAAAUGGUUCUCUUUGUCCCUCACCCUUGGUACCAACGUUGUUGCCAACAUAACUGACAGGUUGUCCUCUGACCUGCCUUGCUAUCAGGACUGUGCAAAAUGUAACGCGUUCUUGCUUUUAACCCACAUGGUGGGCCCAUAACCCAUAGUUCCACAGGAUCGAAACCUGACUGUCCUGUACAUCUCUGUCUUCCAAAAUUGUUCCUCGUUCUUGGUUUCGUAUUUUCAUGAGCCACCUUCUUGUCAUCUGUUCUAGUAUCAGAUGCAAUACUUAUUCUCGAUGCUUUGAAACCCCUUCAUCACCUGUUUUAUACAUCAGCUGGAUGCCUACCUGGUCGAAACUUGUUGAACCUUCUUAUAGCACUCUCGAUACGUCUCCUGGUGCUUCUAAAUUCUUCUUCCUUGAGAUAACUACCGGAUGCCGAUCUUUUCAUACAUCCAUCCUUAUAGCUUCCUCCCUAUUCCACGCCUUAAAUCUUGGGACAAGAUUUCUUGUAGUGGAGGAGAAUUGUGACGCCCGGAUAAUUAAGCUACAUUAAUCCCCCACUAAUGGUGCCAUGUCAUCACAUUACUGUUGCUAAUCCUCACUUGAUCCAAAUCAUAUUUCAAAUUCAAAUUCAAAUUAAAGUCCAAAAUUAAAGUUUCUCAAACAUGCAAAAUAUAAUGUUCAAAGUGUGGCCAAUAUUCCAUAACUAAUUAUGGUGGUGACCCAACACUUUUGUAAAGUGUUUAAAUCCCCUUUUGUGAAUAUAACAAUGACUUCGGCAAUCAUUUAAAUGCCUUUCCAUUUAUGAAAAUUUCAAAGAAACUCGAAAGCCUCCCAAACUUUUUGUGGCAGUGCUAGUAAAUGCAAGAUAUUUAUCUGGCCAAGUCCCACAUGGUACAAAAUACAUUUGCUAGCUAAAAGAAAAUGGAAAAAGAAAAGAGGAAAAAGAAAAUAAGAAACCCCCCUGGCUCUCCCUGGGCCUCAGCCCGUCCCACCCCAGCCAGCCCGCCCAACUGGGCCAACCACCCCAGCCGGCCCACCUCUCCCUCUCCCUUAUCCCCCACUCCCCCAAAAUAUCUGACCGACCACCCCCACUCCCCCCAUGACUCUCUCUCUCUCCCUCUCCCAAUCCGAUCUGGAUCGGGUCGUUCCACCCNNNNNNNNNNNNNNNNNNNNNNNNNNNNNNNNNNNNNNNNNNNNNNNNNNNNNNNNNNNNNNNNNNNNNNNNNNNNNNNNNNNNNNNNNNNNNNNNNNNNNNGCAGGAGCCUCCCGACGCCGCCGCAUGCCGUCGCCUCGCCCCUCUUCCCUCGAAGCCCUCCCUUGCGGCGACACCCCAAGCCGCUGCCCCCUGGUGCCGCCCCGAUGGCCGCGCCCCGCCACCCAGUGCUGCCCGACGCUGCUUGUGGUUGCCCACCGUUGCCUCCCCGCCGCUGUGCGCCGUCAUCAUCGUCGGAUCGUCGGCGCCACCUCGCCCGGAAGUCACCCCGCCGCCUCGACCACGCCUCCCCACCGGACUGCGUCCUCGUCUCUGACGCUGCCGUCCCCGUCCCCCACCUCAAGCGNNNNNNNNNNNNNNNNNNNNNNNNNNNNNNNNNNNNNNNNNNNNNNNNNNNNNNNNNNNNNNNNNNNNNNNNNNNNNNNNNNNNNNNNNNNNNNNNNNNNNNNNNNNNNNNNNNNNNNNNNNNNNNNNNNNNNNNNNNNNNNNNNNNNNNNNNNNNCAUUGCCCCGUGCCCUAUGCUCCGCUGUGAGCCCCUCGCCGAUCCCCCCUCGUCUCCGUCGUCGAACAUGGUCGCGCCUCCCAAUUGCGCAUGCUGCCCGGCCCGUGCUCCCGUGCAUCCCACCGCCGUCCCGCGGUCGCCGCGCCCUGGUCUACCGUGGCCGCGCCGCCCUGCCCUUUCUUGCCGCCUGCGUCGCGCGUGGCCGCCGGACCGCGCAUCCCUGGCCACGCCAGCCAGUCCCCGCGCCUCACCGCCCCAGUCCUCGCGGCUCCGACCUUCCGCGCCAUGGCCGCCGGCGCGCGCCCUCCUGGGCACCCGAGUGCUCCCCGCCCCUGGUGGCCUUGGGCACGCACGCCCGCACCCGUGCACCCGCACCCGUGCGCCCGCACCCGUCGCCCGCUAAGCCACUAGGGUCUAUGACACCGGGGCCCCACGCCCCUGGAAUGUUUUUUUAAGAAAAACAAAUAAUUAAAGUUAAUAAUUAAUUAAUUAGUAAUGUAAUUAAUUAAGUUAAUUAACCUGCUUAAUUAGCCUAAUUACCUAGUUGGUUGAUUAAAUCUAUUAGUUUGUUAAAACAGUCAAUGAGAAAUGGGCCCCAUUGUCCCUUUUGACCAGUCAACCCAGUCAAUAUUGAUUGUUGACCAUGCUGACUCAGCAUGCUCUGGACCCCGUUGUCAGCUGCAUGUGCAUGUUGCUGGGUACACUUUUGUGUACCCAUAGCAUUUUAGUUAUUUAAUUUCGAAUUGAUAAAUAAAUUUAGAAAAUAAAUUAAAACUUUAAAAAUUAAUAUAAAAUAAUCCGUAACUCGGAUGGAAAAAUUUUGUACAUGAAAGUUGCUCAGAACGACGAGAGGAAUCCGAAUACAUAGCCCAUUCGUCCGCCACACGUCUCUAUCAUAGUUAACCUGCAACAUUUCACCUCCGGUUCAUCUGUCCGAAAACGCGGAACACCGGGGAUAUUUUCCUGGAUGUUUCCUCCUUUCGCCGGUAUCACCUAGCACCACGUUAGAACACGUCUAGCUUUGCUUGUUGUCAUGUUAUGCUCUUGCUUGCUAUGUAUUUACUGUUUCUUCCCCCUCUUCUUCUCCGGUACACCUCGAGACCGCCGCUAAUGCCCCUGUGAUCGACUACGUCGACGAUGACCCUACUUCUUGUCUGAGCAACAGGCAAGCCCCCUCUUUGAUCAUCCCGAUAUCACCCAUUCUAUACUCUCUUGCUUGCAUUAGAUUUUGCUACUGUUAUUGUUUGCUCCUAUUUUGAUGCAUAGCCUGCUUUUGUAACUUGUUGUUGUACCUUACCUGCUUAUCCUAAACUGCUUAGUAUAGGUUGGUUAGUGAUCCAGCAGCGACCCCUAGUACUUGUCCUUGUUGCCCCUGCUUCAUCAUCAAUGACUCGAUCAGCGUGAUCGACGACCAGAACCAGACACCUCACAGUACAUCAUGCCCCUUUUGUUGCUCGACUCUACAGAGCUACUAUCAAGUGCCGAGGGCGAUCCCUCAUAACACACUCCUGAUGAUAAUUCUGUAGUGUAGCUAUUCGGUCGUGGUUAUCGAGGGUGAUUUCCUCCUUCACCAUUCCCGAUACGGCUCUGUCGUUCAACACCUCAAGUGUGAACCUCGAGGGUGGUCCCUCUUACGUUCACCUUGAUGAUUACAUUGACUGGAAUCCUCCGUGGGUGAUUCCUCGGGUUUUCCCCUUGAUGUUUGGACACACUGUUACCUUGACUUUACUUGAGACCUUGGUGAAAGUCGGGCAGGCCCGGAGAGCACCUGCAAGAUGGUUACGUGGCACGGCCGGGCAUUCUAGGCCCUUGUGUAAGUCCAUGAGAUGGGGCGACAGGGUCACUUUCGAUUGUGAGUCUCUGCUCGUCUCCCCAAGCUAAUAAUACACUAUGGUUUGGGUAUUUAUUCUGAGUUGGCCUUUGGCCUUUACACACCAACCACCACGCGAGAAUAGUUAUGGGCCUCGACGUCGUGGUAUCAGCCGAAGCUUUGUCAGACGUCCAGUUCAGCAUUGCGACACGGCCUGGUCGGCGCCCCAUUGGAGGUGGCCUGGAUCACCCUGCGCGCAACAAUCCGGAGUGCAACGGGCGAUGGGCCGAGACCCCGGAAUGCUUAGGAUGUAGACCAGCGGGGACCUCUCAGCUGAGCCUAGGUAGGGCUGCGACGUGUUGUUCUUCCGAGGCCGGGCAUGACCCAGGAAAGUGUGUCCGGCCAGAGUAAUCAAGCGUGUUGGAAAACGUGGUGCACCCCUGCAGGGAAGAUUAUCUACUCAUAGUCGUGUCCAUGGUAACGGACGUUCAGACUAAUAUCCUGAUCUUAUACAACUACAAAUGGAUACUUGAGAUAUGUGGCUCCGGGAUUGCUUUCUCACAGGGAGUCGAGGAAGGAUCUCUGGGCAUUAAUGUUACAACAUGCUUGAUAAAUAUAAACUGCUGUUCUUUACUCUUCUACAUGCUGCAAGAUGCUUGGAGCUGCUUGAAGAUGCUAGUCUUUGAUAGGCUAGGCCUUCCCCUCUAUUCUGGCAUUCUGCAGUUCAGUCCACAGAUACAAACCUUCCAUUUGAUACCAGUGCAUACUUAGUAUAGAUCUGAUGCUUGCUAGUACUUUGGAUGAGUACUCACGGUUGCUUUGGUACCCCCUUUUCCCCCUUCUUUCUUCUUUCCGGUUGAUGCAACCAGAUGGUGGAUCCAUGGAGCCAGAUGCCACCACCGACAGAUAAUGCUACGUGAAGACCGUCGACGACCAGGAGUAGUUAGGAGGUCGCAGACAGGAGGCCUUGCCUCUUCGAUCGUGUUGCUUUUGUGCUAGCCUUCUUAAGGCAUCCUUGUUUACCUUAUGUCUGUACUCAGUUAUUGUUGCUUCCGCUGACUCUUGUGUAUCAAGCUUGUAUUCGAGCCCUCGAGGGCCCUGGCUUGUAAUAUAAAGCUUGUAUUAUUUUAUUUGUGUAUAGAGUUGUGUUGUGAUAUCUUCCUAUGAGUCCCUGAUCUUGAUCGUACACAUUUGCGUGUAUGAUUAGUGUAUGAUUGAAUCGGGGGCAUCACAAGCGACAUAUUUUAGGUUUCCGAAACUAAUCUGAUGACCAGGGGCGUAACGGUCGAUCUGCUCCAGGUGACCAAUCAAGUUGGCACGCGGUGCGAAGCCGCCGAAUACGAAGAUUUGGCCGGAGAGGAAAGUCUUCCCCAGGGCGAAAUUGUUGUGGAUGGUUGAUGGAGCCAUCGAGCCUUCUGGGGACGACACAGUGGAACUCUCAAUGAAAGCGCCAAUGUCGGUGUCAAAACCGGCAGAUCUAGGGUAGGGGAUCCCGAACUGUGCAUCUAAGGAUCAAAGGUAACAAGGAGGCAGGGGACACGAUUUUAACCCAGGUUCGGGCCCUCUUAAUGGAGGUAAUACCCUACUUCCUGCUUGAUUGAUUUUUGAUAGUAUAGGGGUUACAAGAGUUGAUCUACGUCGAGAUCGUGAUGGCUAAACCCUAGAUGUCUAGCCUGUAUGAAUUGUGUUGUCGCCUAUGGACUAAGCCCUCCGGUUUAUACAGACACCAGAGGGAUCUAGGAAUGUACAGAGUCGGUUACAGAGAAAGGAAAGUACAUGAUCCAAAUGCUAAGCUUGCCAUCCACGCAAGGGAGAGUCCUAUCCGGACACGGGGGAGGUCCUACCUUGUACCUCCAGGGCCCACCAGUCCAGCCCAUGUCACGUAGGCCGACUCCUCGAGGACGCCAUAGUCCAGGACUCCCUCACCCCUCCACUUAUUCCAGCACCUACACACUUCGUCUUCCUGCAGAAAAAAUCAUCCCAUAGCUCAAACCCGUGUUCUAGCUCGUUUUGCUGCAUUUUCGAUCUCCUUGCUCAAAGCUCCAUUUACAAAGCUGCUUUUGGGGAUUGUUCUUUGUUAUGUGACUCCUCCAAUGGUCCAAUUAGUUUUUGUUCUAGUGCUUUAUUUAUUGCAAACUUUUUCUGCUGAGGUGACCCUGUUCUUGAGCUUGCAUGUCAAAUUUAUAUGGUCCAAAGUAGUGUUAAUGCAUGAUAUAGCCUCUAGGAACUUGUGGGAGUAGUUGCUAUCAAUCUUGUUGAGUUUGAGUCACUAAAAAUUUCAGAAAUUUUUCAGAGGAAGAAAAAUGUUUGGGAAAAUGUACCAAGGUGGUUCUUUAAGGAAGCAAGAACCAAGGCUCACGAUACAUGAGCCGGACCUUGAACCACCAAGGGAAGCUCAAGUGUGGACUUGUGAAUGGCCGUCGGAACAGUUUAUGGUCCAAGCAGGCUUCAAGGAUGGAUUUGAUGCAUAUGUACGUAAUGCUAAUCUUGAGGACUUCCUAUCAGAUAAGUGCCGACAAUACUAUCAUCUCACUGAUUCCUUUGUGAGGAGGUUUAAAUUUUCAUCCACGUGCAACACUCACACUGUUUUAUGCGACCUCUAUGAUAAAUCAUAUACCAUGGACCUUGAAGAUUUUAACACUGCUUGUAAAAUCCCACAGUGGGGUAACUUUGGUGAACCUCGCAAAUCUGAAUAUAAAGAUUUCCUUACUAGUGUCACUGUGGGAGAAACUAGAGAGAUCACACAAGCUACCAUAGGGAUCAUUCAUUUCCCUUCCAUACAUUACUUUGCGCUCUUUAUAGGUCGAUGCAUUAACGAUAAAGAUGAGCUUUGUCACAUGUGCGUUCCAGAUCUUAGUGUCCUCAAGAGUGCUGUAUUAGGUGAUAAACAAUAUAACUUGGGGGCCAUUGUUGCACGGAGGUUACAUCUUAAUGGUAAAAGUUGAGAUUUGUUUGGUGGAAUUUAUGCAACUCGUUUAGCUGAUUAUCUUGGUGUACCCAUAAAUGGAAAUGAUAUGAGUUGUCACCUGCUUAUCUAGAUUAUAAUGCUAUGGUUCUCCAUCAGUUUCUUGAGAGGAACGAAUAGUUCCUUCAGUACCGACUAAUCUUUGACAGACAAUGUACUAUCCAUAUUACUCUCCCUGCUCCUACUUCCUUUAACUUUCAGGCAAACAGGAGAUAUUCUAUAACCAGGGAGGAGGCAAAUGAAUACGAGAAGAGGACGGAGGCAGCUCGCCUCCAGGCUGCAGCUCUCUUGGCAGUAGCUGCUGCAUCUCAGUACAACCCCGACUACGACUUUGGAUAUCCACCAGGCUAACCGUGGCCAUAGACCAACUUAGGCCAAAAUCCUAAGCUCGGGGGAGUACGUAUUUCUCACCGACAUUACAUUCAUGUUCACACACUCAUUCUAGUUGUCGAUGUUCACACUUUUUCAUUGUACUAUCCAUGCUAGUUUAUUUUCUUUUCUUGCUUUCUUCUUGUGUGCUUGAAAAACCUUGAGAAAAAACCAAAAAAAGAAAAUAGUUGUAGCUUUUAGCUAGUUUACUUUCCAUGCUUUUAUUAGUAAUAUUAGACGAAAACCCAAAAAGAUUUCCAGUUCUUCUUUUCCUUGUUGGUGGCUUUCCCGUGUAAAUAAUUUUCUUUUUCUUUGAAAUUAUUUUCUUUUCUUUGGGGGUCGAGAGGAGAAGACCAUGAUGAAAAUGAUGAGUGGCUCUCAUAUGCAUUAUUGUGGAUCUAACCAAGAGCCCAUAUUACCUUGUCUUCUCCUUUGAAUUAAAUGUUUGCAGAUUCCAGCUUAGUCCAAUGCACGUGCACUAUUAUUAUUAUCCACACCGUACGAUUGUGCGAGUGAAAGGCAAUAAUGACGAUAUAUGAUGAAAUGAUUGAGAUGAGAGAAGCUGGUAGGAACUCGGCCUAUCUUGUUUUUGUAAAUAUGAUUAGUUCAUCGUUCCUGAUUCAUCCUAUUAUGAAUGAAACAUGUUUGCAAUGACAACUAGAGAUUAUAGUUGCUUAUGCCAUGCUUAAUUAGCUAGGAGUUUAUAAUGGUUUACCUUGCGCGCCAACAUGCUAUUAAAAUGGUUGUGAUGUGGUACGAUAGGGUGGUAUCCUCCUUUGAAUGAUUCGACUCGCUUGACUUGGCACAUGUUCACACAUGUAGUUGAAACAAAAUCAACAUAGCCUCCAUGAUAUUUAUGUUCAUGGUGAUUUAUAUCCUACUCAUGCUUGCACUCAUUGUUGGUUAAUCUUAAUGCAUGUUCAUGACUGUUGUCGCUCUCUAGUUGGUCACUUCACAGUCUCUUUGUAGCCUUCAGUUGUACUAAGCGGGAAUACUGCUUGUCCAUCCACUUCCAUAAACCCCAAAGUAGUUCCAUAUGAGUCCACCAUACCUUCCUAUAUGCGGUAUUUACCUAUCGUUCCAAGUAAAUUUAUAUGUGCCAAACUCUAAACCUUCAAAUGAAAUUCUGUUUUAUAUGCUCGAAUACUCAUGUAUCAACUAGGGUUGUCUAUAUCUUCCCUGCUAGGUGGGUUAUUCUCACGAUGAGUGGACUCCGCUCAUCAUUCACAAGAAAAUGGCCGGUAAUCGGAUGCCCAGUCCCAUGCUCAAAUCAAAUCAAAAUAAUUGCAAACAAAACUCCCCAAAGAUUGUUGUUAGUUGGACGGUAUCCGUUGUUUCAGACCAGCCGUGGAAUAUGCUCGUUCGUGAUGGGGAGUAUAAACUUUACAAUUCUGUUUGGGAACCGCCUAUAAUGUAUGUAGCAUGGAAGAUGUCGAGAUCUCUUGGUUGUUAUGUUGACAAUGAAAGUAUGCCGCUCAAAAUAUUAUUUAUCUCUGUUUCAAAACUCGAGCUCUGGCACCUCUACAAAUCCCUGCUUCCCUCUGUGAAGGGCCUAUCUAUUUACUUUCAUCUUGAGUCAUCAUCCUCUUAUAAAAGGCACCAGCUGGGGACCACCACUGUCAUUCGCAUGCAUUGCUGUCGGAUUUCGGGUUCCGGCAGACUCUUAAGGUUCGAACUCUAGGGUGCGCGUGGGGAUCACUCCCUCUGCCAACUUACGUCUCGUCGCCUCGCAAAGAAUCUAGACUACACGAAGAACAACACAAGGGACGCAAGGUUUAUACUAGUUCGGGCCACCAUUGUGGUGUAAUACCCUACUCUAGUUGGUGGUGUGGUGGAUUGCCUCAGGGGCUGAUGAUGAACAAUAAAAGGAAGAACUACCUCGCGAGGGGAGGAGUUCUUGUGGAGGUGAUACCUCUUGGGAAGGAUUGAAUCCAGAUCCCUUUCUACUGUGGUGGCUAGCUCUAUUUAUAGAGCGAGGCCCUGGUCCUCUUCCCAAAUAUUGAGCGGGAAGGGUGCCAACAAUUGGCCAUUUUUGAAGGGGAACAUCUAGUACACUUAUCCUGACUAAAGUUGGUCCUCGCCUGCCAAAGACUCUGAUGAUGACGCCGGCUUGGGCUCCACGAUGACCUCCAUCCUGCCAUUCUGCUGGUCUUGAUCUUGUUGCACCGAAAUGGUUGCCUUUGCUUGAUACCCUUGCCUGCGCUUGCCCCUUUGCACCAAAGAGGAAACAAGGACUCUGUGCAGGCCAGCGCCCGCCUGGCGCCCGCCUGGCUUCGGUCGUCAUGGCUUGCGUCAUGGGCACCUCGUGAGGUACCCCGCCUUGAUCUCUCCGCCUCCUCAUGAGCCAGCCUGACGAGGCUGCACCUGAGGAGGCUUCCUGUCGUCCGCCCCGUGAGGCUUGGCCCCUCGCGAGGGUCUUGAGCUUAUGUUGAUGAAGAUGGGCCGCACUGGGCCACUCCUUGAGCCACACCGCAGGCCGCAGGCAGGUAAGUCUGGGUACGCCCGUUCCCAGAAUGUCGACAGUAGCCCCAGGGCCCAAGGCGCGCCCGGACUUGGCUUAGCGGAGAAGCGAAGGGGCAAGUGCGAAGCGUCGCGGGCCCCAACAGCCUGCGGCCUUGGGUGCCGCAUGGCGGUUGAUUGGACGUGAGCGUCCCCGCUUCCCCAUGACGCCUCGGCAACUGCACGACUUGACAAGAGAACGGCACCGGGCCAGGCUUACCCUCUUUGCCUUCUCUAGUCAUUGCCCAGAUCCCCUUUCUUGCUCUCCUCCUUCUUGCUUCUAAAAUCCUCCAGAUCUGCUUCAACCCCGCAUCUUUAGCAAGCCAUGGCGCCUCGUCAGACUCCAGUCGGGGCCUGGUACACGCCCGCUCUGGAUCCUCCGAACGUGUCAGAGAAGAACCUCGCCCUCACGCACCUGAUGAUGGCAGCGCAGGGCAAUGCGGGGGCGGCCGUGUUCAAGGUUGGCUCCGCCCUGCCCGAGGACAAGGGGAGCACCUUCUACCCGCUCUUCGUGAGCGCCAUCGCCACCGGUCUGGUGCCUCCCUUUUCUGAGUUUUUCCUUUCUGUUCUUCACCAAUACAAUCUGCAAGCUAUGCACCUCCACCCCAACUCUAUUCUUCUUCUGGAAAUUUUUGCCUAUUAUUGCAAGGCUCAUGUUGGGGUAAAGCCCUCUGUGGCCUUGCUGCGCCACUACUUUUACCUCCGGGUUUCUCACGUCUCCAUCACCGCGUGUGCGAGCUUUGUCGCGUACUCCAGCUCCAAUGCCAUCUCGAAGCCUGGGAAGAGGAUCGAAGGCUUCCGGAGCAAGUGGGUCAUGGUGGACGCGGGGCACAUCCACCAUCGGCUGGUGCUGCCUACGAGGUAGCCUAAGGCUGUCGAUGCUUGGUCCCGCGCAGAGCUCGUCGAUCCUCGCGCGAGGCCGGUGCUGGAGAGGAUGGACGCGGACCUGUGGCCGGGCAACAUGGCGACGGCGAAGCUGACCGGGGCGACGCUCCAGAGGGAGUUCCUGGAGCACCGGGUGGCUCCGCUUCGAGAAUAUUCGCUCCCACUAUGGAGGCUUGGGGAAGCCGACGUCGCCCUCCGCCCGAGCUCCGCAGCCCUGGCCGACGAAGAUCUGGCCACAGUCCUCCAUGCCUUGGUUGGGGGAGACAUGGUGAGACUGGAGGGUGCUCCUGUACCCCUGUUCCUUCGGGAUGACUGGGAGCAUGUGGUGAAUUCAUGCCCGCCUUCAACGGGGAGGGGCCUGUGCCUGUGGAGGUUCCCGAAGAUCUAGCGGCCCUGGCGACGGUGAACGUAUCUUCCGGUGACUCCGGCAGGGAGGAGGAAGAAGAGGGGGAGGAAGAGGAGUCUGACUCUGAAGCGACUGACGGAGAGUCGGGGAAGUCCCUCCCCCAGCGGAGGUCCCGCGCCCUCCGCCUCAUGCCGGACGACGACGAGGUUGGCGACGAGCAAGGUGAGGAGAGCUCGCCCCUGGUCCCAAGGAAGGACAGGACGGGGCUGAUCACCCGCGGGUCUGCUCCGGCUUCAAGGCGGCCUGAAGCUAGCUUCAACUCCUCUGACGUGCCUCCUGCUUCCGAGUCUCCUGAGGCUGACCCCAGCAGCCGACUCUCAGGCUUCAAGUUCGGUCGGAGGCUGCUUGAGUCCGUGAGCAAUGACCAGUAAGUGCUUGAUUUUCGUUUUGCUUCCUGCUUUUGUCGUUGAGGCUUGACGUCCAUAUUCCUUGGCUAGGCCAGUGCCUGCGGCGAAAAGGCUAAAGGGGGCCCCUGACGCUUCGCCUGGGGCAACACUUCCACCUGUGGGAGAAGGAGGCAGCAAGGCUCGAGCUUCCCCUGCCCGGUCAUCCUCGCGAGGCCAGGUGGGGCGUGCUAGUGUGAGCUCAGCCCCCAUGGCCCAGGCGACUCCCGAGGCGUCCUUGCCUGACGCCACUACUGCAGCCGCCGGGGCUCAGAAGGUCCCGACGCAUGGUGUUGUGAUCAUGCUGCCGUCUUCCCCUCCUACUCCGCCAACCGCCAUUUCUCCGACUCCUUCUACUGUCUUGGAUCGUGCUGCUGCUGAGCUGGACCGGCUGCGAGAAGAUCUUCAGGGCGUCGACCCUCGCCUGGUGGCAGGGCGCCUGGAGCUGGCCUCUGGUUGGGUCCGCUUCGAUGCUUCAGUUCGAGCGGCGCUGGUCCAGGCCAUGACGGCCUGCGACGAGGAGAAGCAGGCCAUCCUUCAAGCCAAGGCCGCUCGCGACGCCGCCUUGGGUGAGGCUGCAGAUGUCCGGGGCCGCUGCAAGGCGCUGGAGAGCGAGCUGCAAGGCCUGCGCGACCAGCUUGCCAAGGAGGUCCGUGACCGCCAGGAGAAGGAGGAGGAGAUGAAGACUCGUUUGGCUGCCGCCAAGGACCGGGACGCCGAGCUUGAUGAACGCCAUGGUCGAUUGGAUACGCUGUAGUAGGCAUUGGAGGCGAAGAGGAUCGAGCUGGACGACAAGGUGAGGGUCCUGGCCGAGGACCCGGUGGCCUUUGCGAAGCUGGAGGAGAGGGCUCGCGCCUCGCUGAAGACGCUUUAUGAUGGCGGCCUGGAAAAACCGCUAGCUGGCGCCAAGGAUGGCCCCGCCAAGUUGCUUCCCUUCCUGGUCCGUGCACUUGAAGAUGUCGCCAUCGGCCUUGGCCCCACGGCUGAGGCCGAGGCGCGUGUCCUUUCUUCUGCAGCGCUUGCGUGUGUCUUCACCCACGUCUAUCUUCGUGACAACAACGUCGAUCUUGACAGCCUGCUGGAGCCUACGAGCGGCGAGCUUGCCGCUGCCGCUACUGAGGCAGUGAAGGGUUGAGCGGAAGCCCUGCUGGCGAACUUCCGCGCCUUCAGCACCAAGCCAGGGCGAGAAGCUGCCAACCCUGGGGCUCCGCGAGGUGAAGCCGCCUAGCGCAACUCCACCACCAGCGAUGGCACCGCCGGAAAGUGACCCCUUCGCAGCUCCUGUCCUGUUUUAGUUACUGCAACAUGCAUCAUGCCUUGUGGAGGCAUUUAAACUUGUGUUUGGCGUUGUGAAAACAACCUAUGGACUGUAAUAUUUUCUUUUGAAUUCCUUGAGAUUUGCGCUUUUCCUUCCUACAUGCUUGUGUUCUACGUUGGCAGAGCCCGGCCCCGUGCAUACCUCAGUCGCCGUCAGCCCCGACUGGAAACCAGGAUGGGACCAACGAGUGAGGGGCUACGUGACCAGUUUGGCUCCUGAGUCGCGAUGCUCAGGAGUCCCCCUUGACACGCGAACAACAAGUAGGGAGGGGAGGUGUAGGAGUGGAUCUACCAUUCUACGUCGACAGGGCCCGGCCCCGCGCAUACCUCAACCGCCAUUAGCCUUUUGGAACUAAGGGGUGAGGGGCUACGUGACCAGUUAAGCUCCUGAGUCGCGACGCUCAGGAGUCCCCCUUGAUGUUCAAACGGCCUUCGUACCUUGGCUCCGCUUGGGGAGGGGUGUGCGACGAACCAGGCCCGAGGGGCCUGGCUGGGUGGCGUGCGCCUGGGCGUGACCCAGGCAUAGCCCCCGUGCCCAGCCCCCUCGCGCGGCACUCCCGAGGGGAGUCAUUACGAUAGGGCCGGACACUGAGCUCUGGGCUCCCUGAGGUUGAUGCGGCCGGGGGCCACCCUUAGUUGUUUAUCACCAGUGCGGAGCAUAGCGCUUCCGUAUGUGUACGGGCAUAGCCGCUCCUCGGUAGUGUCGUCAGCCAGCGCGGAGCAUGGUGCUUCCACUGGAGCAUGGGAGGGGCCUCCUGCGUGUACAGCCCCGCCCUGACACGUUGCUGGCACUUUAGGGCUUGACAAGGUGUAUCUUGGCACCCAUGAGCCAGCGCGGGACUCACGGGGCCCUACCUCAAGGCGGGUUGCGCCUGGCUCUGGGCCUUUGUUUGUAAUGUGCUACUGCAAAUUUGGUUAGAUGCCGUAGCUCUACGUCCUCAGGUCCCGCCCCUCGAGCGAGCUCAGUAGUCGCUGGUAUGCCAGGUCAUGAUGCCGUGGACAAGGCCAGGAGGUGAGGGCUGGAGAGCGAGUAAGAGUCCAUGAGUCGCGAUGCUCAGGUACCCCCCCUUUUAACGUGCAAGCGGCUAGCAUGAGGGAAGAAGGGUGCCGCCACAAGCAUCAAGUCAUAAUCAUGGCGGGUCAAAUGCACGACCUGAAUAAACGAGAGAGAGAUACAUGCCACUGGUUCAGGCCCGAGCGGCUUGGGGAUAAUGUAGCCCGAGGGGCGCCCCCAACAAAGUAACCUAAAGACAUGAACAAAAGGGAUACAUGCCGCAGGGACGGACCCAUGCGGCCUGGGAAUGAUACAGCCCUGGGGGCGCUCCCAGCUGAAAAUGAAACUCGAAGGAUGUCACCUGAUGAUGUUGGAGAUGAAGGAAUGCUGAAGUAGCGGACGACACGCGCUGUGGAAACCGAUCCUCACGAGCCCCCAGGCCCAGGAGCCUCAGGAGGCUUCGGGGGCGCUGGCGGCUCCUCGAGGAACAUCUCCAUCUCUGCCAGGACUGCGGAAUGCCUGACCUCCUGAGCCUCCAGAAUGCUCCUUAUGAGUCGCUGGCGCGCGGGAGCCGCGUUCGGCAAGCCAAAAGGCAUGCGAACAUAGCUGUGGAGUGGACCUUUGCAAUGUCCCACGCGUGAGGGCCAGAAACGCUCCUGAGAGGCGGCUCGGUUGAGCCCUGGUACGUCAAUGCAGAUGCGCAGCUCACAUCCUCGCCUGGAUGGGGGGCUACAACGGGUAAGCGGCGGCAGCCACUCAUGACUCUUGACUCCUGCAGCUCCUGAAUGAUCUCGCUGAUGAACUCCUGAGGGUUCGGCCCUCCUCGCCUUGCACCUUCCUGAGGGAAAUGUGCUUUGAAGCACGCCUCCAAGUGGUGCCCGAGCGCCUCCCUCGUGAUCUUGGCAGAGUCGAUGGCCCUCCAGGAGAGGUCCCCCGAGCCUUGCCCGAGGAGGGCGACGGGCGCGCCUUCCUAUGCGUCAGAAGGAGGCGCCCCUUGAACGGGUGCGGAUCCUGAGGGGCCUGCCUCCCGAGGGUUCGGACCAGGCAAUGUCUUCUUCUUCUUAGGGACUGCCUCGGGAAGUCUUCCGCUCCUGUGAUCUGGGUCUUCGAUUGACGCGGCCUGAAAAGCACGCUCCAGAGAACACACUACAUCCCUCUCCUCACAAGGCACUAUGAUGACUCCACCGCUUCCUGGCAUCUUGAGGACAUUGUAGCCGUGAUGAGUCACUGCCAUGAACUUGGCCAGGGCUGGGUACCCGAGGAUGGCAUUGUAUGGCAGGCGAAUGUAGGCGACGUCGAAGUCAAUGAGCUCGGUGCGGUAGUUGUCGCGCUGCCCAAAGGUGACAGGAAGGCGGACUUGCCCUAUCGGAACAAUGGAACCAUCAGUGACUCCUGAGAAAGGCUUGGUUGGCUGAAGCUGAUUGUAUGGCACUUGGAGAUUGUUGAACGUCUCGACGGACAGGACGUUGAGUCCUGCUCCGCCAUCAAUGAGGGUCAUGGUGACUUGCACAUUGCUGAUGAUUGGGGAGCAAAGCAUGGGGAGGACUCUGGCCGUGGCUGCGCACUUGAGCUGAUCCGCAGAGCUGAAUGUGAUAGCGCACGCUGACCACCUGAGAGGGCGCGUGGCCUCAAGCUUGGGGAGGACUGCAUUCACCUCGCGAGCAAACUGCUUAAAGAUGCACUAAGAGGUUGGGGCCUGAGCGCCACCCAAGAUGCAAGCGAUUGCGCGUGGCUCUUGGAAGCCCCCAGCCCCUUCGUCCUGAUGAUGGUCUUCAUUCCUCCUCGGUUGUGGUGGCAGAGGAGGGAGGCCUGCGUUGCCUUGUGGGCGAUCCUCACGAGGCUGAUCCCUCCAACCUCCCUCGCGAGGCUGGUCCUGCCAGCGGUCCUCGCGAGGUCGGUCACGCCACCCUUGGCGAGGGCCACGGUCUUCCCAUCGUCCUCCACCUCUUCCUCCUCCUCGGCCAUAGCCCCGGUCAUUGCGCUCGGGGCAUCGGCCAGCACGCACAUCUCGCACGACCCUGAGCUCUUGGCAUUCGUUGGUGUUGUGGGUGUGGAGGUCGUGGUACACGCAGUACCGGCUGCCCUUGCAUGACUCAGGCUGAUCCCUGCCUCUCUUGGUGUCUGGCUCUGCUACAAGCACAGCAGCCCCCUUGCGCUUCACGUCCUUGACCUUGGGCUUCUUCUCUUCUGGAUCGGCAGCCGGAAGCUCGAGGAGGGAGAGGCGCCCUUCCUCAGCCCUGGCGCACUUGGUCGCCAAGUUAAAGAGCUCCAGGGAUGUGCAUAGGUCUUCAUGGAUUGCUAGCUCCUCUUUCAUCUUGAUGUCACGCACACCGUCGGAGAAGGCUGAGAUGAUGGCCUCCUCAGUCACCCUGGCGAUCUUGAGGCAAGCGUUGUUGAAGCGUUGGAUAUACUUUUGCAGGGUCUCUCCUGGCUGCUGCUUGAUGUGGCGCAGGUCGCUCAUGGCCGGGGGCCGGUCGCGAGUGCCUUGGAAGUUGGCGAUGAAGCAUGUGCGCAUCUCCUCCUAGGAAGAAAUCGUGCCAGGAGCCAGGUUCAGGAGCCAGUUGCGGGCUCCGUCCUUGAGCGCCAUAGGGAACCAGUUCGCCAUGACCUCCUCGUCCCCGUUGGCGGCUUCGAUGCCCAGCUCGUAGAGCUGGAGGAACUCCGCAGGGUCAGCCGUGCCGUCGUAGCACGGAGGCAGAUCUGGCUUGAACUUGCCUGGCCAGGCCAUGCUGCACAGCUCGGCGGUGAAGGCACGGCAGCCUGUAGUGGCCACAUGAGGCCUCUGGUGACCACUACAAGAAAUACGGUCAAUUAUGACUCCCCAUUUUGGUCGUUAUUUUGUCAUUGCUUUCGUUUAUUGACAUUUUUUUGACCAAAGUUGGAAGGUCAACAGUGGGCCGUCAAGAACGAACAAACGUGACCUUUUUUGGAAUUUUUGUCAUAGCCACCCUUGACCAAAAUUUUGGUCGCUAAAUCUUUGACCAAAAUUAUGGUCAUUACUAAUGAGCCUAGGCCAUGUAGGAUCUGAUGUGGCUGAACCAACGUGGCAAUGAUGUGGCAAAAAUGAUGACAUGGAUGCCAUGUAGGAUCAAUCCAAAUCAGUUGUUUUAAUGGGCCGAGCCCAAUAAUUUAGCCCAUUUUUACAUUCACUUUUGGGCCAUAGCCUAUUAAUGUUAGUUCUUAUGCUCAAGCAAUGUGCAGUCCAUUUAUUCAAUCUACCAUUAGUUGGGCCAGCCCUUCUCUCUACCCAAAAAAAAUAUUGAAUCUUUUUUCUAUAAAAAAACUACAUUGGGCCUUGAGACGAGCCAGCCCACUCAUACAAUUUAGUAUUUUCGGUCCAGCCAAUAACCAAUAGUAGCUCAAAAAAGAAGCAUUUCACAGUUUGGCAGUCAACCAAUAUAGGAGAAUAAAAUGAUAAUAAUAAUACAAUUCUCCAAGAUUUCAUUAACUUAGGCCCAGCAGUAUCAUUACACCACAAGUUCAUAAGAUGCACCAACCAAAAUAACAUAGCCAGUAACACAGCCAAAGAAACUCAUCAACCCCAGGUCCAAACAACUCAGCAUCAAAAGUCCCAAAGCCAACAUCAACCACGCUGUAGUAACUAAUUUACCUUCGAACAGAUCCAUGAGACGCGCAAAUCUAGAAUCACUUGCUGCAGCCCUAGCAUCGCUGGCCUCAACUCUUUGCAGUAACAACUGAUACUCUGCGGCGCGUGCAGCUUCGGUCUCCUCUGAUUUCUUCUUGACCUCAACAAGCUCCUCU
rnacentral:lncRNA from 1 species